GGGGAAUUAACUCAGCUGGUAGAGUAUCUCCUUGACGUGGAGGAAGCCAUGGGUUCGAGUCCCUUAUUCCCCA
rnacentral:tRNA from 1 species